rnacentral:lncRNA from 1 species
AAAGAUUCUGGACAUCUUUUGUUUUCUUAAUGUGUUGCUCCUCAUUAUACACUCAUUUGAUUAAACCCCAAACAUGAAACCCACAUACCAAGUGUCACCAGCAAAUUCUAGCUAGUACAACCGUGCGAGUAAGGAUUAUUCCCAUCAAGUAGGGUCUGUUUAGUUUAUUUCCUGCUCUGAUACACAAGCUCUUAUCAGCGAAGGUCAUUCUUGAUGUGACCAAGAUCGCC